UGCGAAGGGUGCAAGCGUUACUCGGAAUUACUGGGCGUAAAGCGUGCGUAGGUGGUUCGUUAAGUCUGAUGUGAAAGCCCUGGGCUCAACCUGGGAAUGGCAUUGGAUACUGGCGAUCUAGAGUGCGGUAGAGGGCAGUGGAAUUCCCGGUGUAGCAGUGAAAUGCGUAGAGAUCGGGAGGAACAUCUGUGGCGAAGGCGACUGCCUGGACCAGCACUGACACUGAGGCACGAAAGCGUGGGGAGCAAACAGG
rnacentral:rRNA from 1 species